CGAGCCAGGUGUCCAUUCGGAUAAAAUUAAAAUGAUACAUAGAAGAUUAGCGUGAACUAUGCAUAAGGAUGACAUGCAUGAGAAAUAGUCCAAUUGUUU
rfam:Brassica rapa chromosome A2, whole genome shotgun sequence.